ensembl:snRNA
ACCAUCCUUUUCUUGGGGUUGUACUACUGUCCAAUGAAUGCAUAGUGAGGGCAGUACUGCUAACGCUUAAACAUCACACUCAUAUCAACUAAAACUCUGCUUUAUGUUGGUGCAAUUUUGGAAAAA